UGGGGAAUUUUCCGCAAUGGGCGCAAGCCUGACGGAGCGACGCCGCGUGCGGGAGGACGGCCUGUGGGUUGUAAACCGCUUUUAUCAGGGAAGAAGUUCUGACGGUACCUGAUGAAUCAGCAUCGGCUAACUCCGUGCCAGCAGCCGCGGUAAUACGGAGGAUGCAAGCGUUAUUCGGAAUUAUUGGGCGUAAAGCGUCCGCAGGUGGUGCCUCAAGUCUGCUGUCAAAGACCGAAGCUCAACUUCGGGCAGGCAGUGGAGACUGAAGCACUAGAGUACGGUAGGGGUAGAGGGAAUUUCCAGUGUAGCGGUGAAAUGCGUAGAGAUUGGAAAGAACACCAGUGGCGAAGGCGCUCUACUGGACCGUAACUGACACUCAGGGACGAAAGCUAGGGGAGCGAAAGGGAUUAGAUACCCCCGUAGUCC
rnacentral:rRNA from 1 species